AAUCGUUUUGCGCGACCAUCCCAUAUUGCAAAAGCUUGGUGCACUGGAGAGCAUAUGCAGCGCGACUGAAGCAGACGAACAACUGUGAACCUCAUCUGUGCAUCCGGAACCAGAACUCGGGGAGAGCUCGACCUACAAACUUAUUAGGAUUCAAAACACUUUCCUAAUCAAGAAUUUCUCAGGAAUACAGGCGCAGAUUCUCUUUGGAGCAGAAUUCAGAGAACGUAAGCAGAGACGAGAUUUCUACUCCUACAUCCAUGGGCGGCCUC